rnacentral:rRNA from 1 species
CGAAGAUACCAGCUGGCUGCAACUGUUUAUUAAAAACACAGCACUCUGCAAACACGAAAGUGGACGUAUAGGGUGUGAUGCCUGCCCGGUGCUGGAAGGUUAAUUGAUGGUGUUAUCGAAAGAGAAGCUCCUGAUCGAAGCCCCAGUAAACGGCGGCCGUAACUAUAACGGUCCUAAGGUAGCGAAAUUCCUUGUCGGGUAAGUUCCGACCUGCACGAAUGGCAUAAUGAUGGCCAGGCUGUCUCCACCCGAGACUCAGUGAAAUUGAAAUCGCCGUGAAGAUGCGGUGUACCCGCGGCUAGACGGAAAGACCCCGUGAACCUUUACUAUAGCUUGACACUGAACAUUGAAUUUUGAUGUGUAGGAU